rnacentral:rRNA from 1 species
GUUGACCUCGGAUCAGGUAGGGAUACCCGCUGAACUUAAGCAUAUCAAUAAGCGGAGGAAAAGAAACCAACAGGGAUUGCUCUAGUAACGGCGAGUGAAGCAGCAAUAGCUCAAAUUUGAAAUCUGGCGUCUUCGACGUCCGAGUUGUAAUUUGUAGAGGAUGCUUCUGAGUGGCCACCGACCUAAGUUCCUUGGAACAGGACGUCAUAGAGGGUGAGAAUCCCGUAUGCGGU